GGGAAAUGUUGAAUCACAGCCUGAAUCUCUGAUUGAUCACCUGAGGUGAGCCAUGAGUCAGCCAUGGGAGCACAGGUGAAAGCAAUUCACCUGUGCUGCUGGAAGGGGUGGAGCCUGGCUCCAUCUCUCCUAGACCCAUUUAAGAGCUGACUAGCAGUGGGUAAGGAUCUCUUCUGGAGAUCUACUCUGCUGGAGUUUUGUAAGUGGGCCCAGGAUAUGGAACUGGCCAAGAUUCUGUUUAUGGAAGCGACAUGGAUGAAAUAAACCCUGCUUAGCAUGAUGUUGGGAGGCACUGGAUAUGGUUUCUUGACUCUCUAGCCCAAGCUCCGAUUAGUGCAACCAACAGACUGCACACCCACUGAGAACAGUCAGAGAACACAACAGUGCACUAUGGCUCCUGCUCCCUUCCACAGCCUGACAACAGGGAGACAAGAGCUCUAGCUAGCCUGGCACAACAGCUAUUGGGAAGUUUGGCAUGCUGCUCUGAUGAGCAGACUGUGUGGGAGCAUCUGCCCCUGAAUGCAGAAGAGAAGAAACAAGAGUGAGAGUGAUACAGAAGGGCUCUUGGACAGCCCAAAGAA